rnacentral:rRNA from 1 species
GUUUCCGUAGGUGAACCUGCGGAAGGAUCAUUAUCGUACAACCGAGGUGCAAGGGCUGUCGCUGACCUUUGAAGGUCGUGCACGCCCGAGCGCUCUCGCCACAAUCCAUCUCACCCCUUUGUGCAUCACCGCGUGGGUCCCCCUUUGCGGGGAGGGCUCGCGUUUUCACACAAAACUUGAUACAGUCUAGAAUGUUUAUUUUUGCGAUAACACGCAAUCAAUACAACUUUCAACAACGGAUCUCUUGGCUCUCGCAUCGAUGAAGAACGCAGCGAAAUGCGAUACGUAAUGUGAAUUGCAGAAUUCAGUGAAUCAUCGAAUCUUUGAACGCACCUUGCGCCCCUUGGCAUUCCGAGGGGCACACCCGUUUGAGUGUCGUGAAAUUCUCAAAAUCCUUUUCUUUGAUCGGAAUAGGACUUUUGGACUUGGAGGUUCAAUGCUCGCUUUCGCCUUUGAAAGCGAGCUCCUCUCAAAUGAAUCAGUGGGGUCCGCUUUGCUGGUCCUUGACGUGAUAAGAUGCUUCUACGUUUUGGAUUCGGCAUUGUUUUCUCCGCUCCUAACUGUCCCAUGGGACAACGAUGGUGCUUCGGUCGUCGCCAUCUAUGGCGGGAGGCUGAACCCACAAAGAACCUUGACCUCAAAUCGGGUGAGACUACCCGCUG